rnacentral:siRNA from 1 species
GGUGUGACUUGUCGUCUUUGGC